UACGAGGGGGGCGAGCGUUGUUCGGAAUUAUUGGGCGUAAAGGGUGCGUAGGCGGUUUGGUAAGUCUUGUGUGAAAUCUACAGGCUCAACUUGUAGUCUGCACGAGAAACUGCCGGGCUUGAGUGUGGGAGAGGUGAGUGGAAUUCCUGGUGUAGCGGUGAAAUGCGUAGAUAUCAGGAGGAACACCUGUGGCGAAAGCGGCUCACUGGACCAUAACUGACGCUGAUGCGCGAAAGCUAGGGGAGCAAACAGG
rnacentral:rRNA from 1 species